UACGAAGGGGGCUAGCGUUGUUCGGAUUCAUUGGGCGUAAAGGGUGCGUAGGUGGCGCUGUAAGUCAGGUGUGAAAUUUCGGAGCUUAACUCCGAAACUGCAUUUGAUACUGCGGUGCUUGAGGACUGGAGAGGAGACUGGAAUUUACGGUGUAGCAGUGAAAUGCGUAGAGAUCGUAAGGAAGACCAGUGGCGAAGGCGGGUCUCUGGACAGUUCCUGACACUGAGGCACGAAGGCCAGGGGAGCAAACGGG
rnacentral:rRNA from 1 species